UAAAUCCUGCUGAGGUAUAUACAACUCUACAAGCUGGUUCUCAAAUCCUUUUUUUGGAACGAGACUGAAGGAUUUCUGCAUAAAUAAUCAUAGUGGAAUUUUCAAGAUAUUUCAACGGUCUGUGGUGGCCAAAUAUGUGGAAUUGAGGCUGUUCCAGUAAAUCUGGAAUGAAUUGACACUCUAUCCACAGAGUAUGAAACUGUGUGUAGAGUAUGCAUGUGCGCGCGCGUGCACACACACACACAUACACACACACACACACACACAGGAAGAAUUCUUUUCUUGUCCAGACACUGGCAUUGGCAGUGAAACCAUCCAUUCCAAACCAAAGGAGCCCCCUCACCAAUGGCCUUGCCGCCCAGGAACCCUGCAGGGCAGAAGUUGGGGAGGGGAUAGCAGUCUGAAUAGCGGUCUUGGAUGGCUGGAAGCUGGCACCUGUGAACAAGCACCCAUGAUGGUGAUGCAUCCGGAACCAGGCUGCCCAGCCAACCAGUGCUUUCCCACCGGAGCUUUUGCUCUGGGCUCCUCUGCCGUUGAUUUCCCAGGUCCCGCCUUGCAUUUUCUCCCUCAUCUUCACAUGUGGGGAGCCCCUGACCGGCUGCUGAAGACCCCCAGACAAGCCUUCAGCUUCCAGAUCAUGGAAGGCAGCAUGGGGAGGCAGGAGACCCCUGGGAGGGCGGAGCAUGACUUUUGUCCAGGAGGCUGGACUACCGACUUCAGCAGGCUCUGGUUGGCUCUGGAGGACAUCCCUCAAGAAGUGCUGGCAGAUGUUAGAUUCCCGCCACCUGGAGGCCUGACCUCACCUGAGGGCAUCCCUGCCUGUCCAUGUCUUUUGACUGGGUGGGCAGCCCUGCCUACCUCUCUGCAGCUUCAAACACCAGCCGCUUCCACUCAGAGACACUCAAAAUGUGUCGAGGGAGGUUGUCCUCUGGACUCCUGGGAAUUGACCACCAGCAUGCGCUGCUCCGCUGACAAGGGAAAGGGCCCUCUGGCCCGCACAGCAUGGAUAUGGGCAGAACGGUUUUUCCUAACUAGGCCUUCUGGGUUGCAGCAGAACAGCAUGUGUCUGCUUCUCAAAUGUAACAGAUUGUCUCUGGAAACUGCGAAAUCUGACCAGAAGGCCCUUAGCCUCCCAGGCUCUGUAGCUUCUGCAGUGAUGAGGCCUGGCCACCAGAUGGCUCCACAGAGGCCACUGCUCUCUCAGGGAAGAGGAGGCUGGGAAGAUCCAGGGGAGGACAUGGAAUUGGAUUCUCACCUGGGGAAGCUGUGGAGCCUGUGUGGUAUGGAUGCUUUUCUCCGCCGUGUCACCUGGGAUAACCAUUUACCCUCUCUGGAGAAACAGCUGGACUUCAGGACAGUGACAGCUCCUUCCAGGGCCAGGUGGAGGGUUCUGAGAUGCAGCCCGGAAUGGGGUGGCUUGGCAGAUGUGAAGUUGUGAGUGUUAUGGGCUUAACUGUGCUCAACACCCCCAUUCAUAUAUUGAAGUCCUAACCCCUAGUGCCUCAGAAUAUGACUGCAUUGGAGAUAGGGCCUCCUAAAAGGUAACUAGGGGGACCUCCCUGGUGGCCCAGUAGCUGACUCUGUGCUGCCAAUGCAGGUGCGGUUCCAUCCCUGGUCAGGAACCAGAUCCCGCAUGCCAUAACUAAAGAUCCCAAGUGCUACCACUAAGACCCACCACAACCAAAUUAAAAAAUAAGAAAUAUUUUUUCAAAAAAGUAACUAGGCUAAAAUAAGGCCAUGAGGGUGGGCCCUAAUGUGAUGUGACUGGUGUCCUUCUGAGAAGAGAUUCUGUAGGACAGAC
rnacentral:lncRNA from 1 species